rnacentral:rRNA from 1 species
GUGGGGAAUUUUGGACAAUGGGGGCAACCCUGAUCCAGCCAUCCCGCGUGUGCGAUGAAGGCCUUCGGGUUGUAAAGCACUUUUGGCAGGGAAGAAAAGUUUCGGGCUAAUACCCUGGAGCGAUGACGGUACCUGCAGAAUAAGCACCGGCUAACUACGUGCCAGCAGCCGCGGUAAUACGUAGGGUGCAAGCGUUAAUCGGAAUUACUGGGCGUAAAGCGUGCGCAGGCGGUUCGGAAAGAAAGAUGUGAAAUCCCAGGGCUUAACCUUGGAACUGCAUUUUUAACUGUCGAACUCGAGUAUGUCAGAGGGGGGUAGAAUUCCACGUGUAGCAGUGAAAUGCGUAGAGAUGUGGAGGAAUACCGAUGGCGAAGGCAGCCCCCUGGGAUAAUACUGACGCUCAUGCACGAAAGCGUGGGGAGCAAACAGGAUUAGAAACCCGAGUAGUCC